rnacentral:rRNA from 1 species
AUUGAACGCUGGCGGCAGGCCUAACACAUGCAAGUCGAACGGUAGCACAGAGAGCUUGCCCUCGGGUGACGAGUGGCGGACGGGUGAGUAAUGUCUGGGAAACUGCCCGAUGGAGGGGGAUAACUACUGGAAACGGUAGCUAAUACCGCAUAACGUCGCAAGACCAAAGAGGGGGGACCUUCGGGCCGUCUUGCCAUCGGAUGUGCCCAGACGGGAUUAGCUUGUAGGUGAGGUAACGG